rnacentral:rRNA from 1 species
UACGAAGGAUCCAAGCGUUGUCCGGAUUUACUGGGUUUAAAGGGUGCGUAGGUGGAUUAUUAAGUCAGUGGUGAAAGCUGGUAGCUUAACUAUCAAAUUGCCAUUGAAACUGAUAAUCUUGAGUGCGGUUGAGGUAGCUGGAAUGUAACAUGUAGCGGUGAAAUGCUUAGAUAUGUUACAGAACACCGAUUGCGAAGGCAGGCUACUAAACCGUAACUGACACUGAGGCACGAAAGCGUGGGGAUCAAACAGG